rnacentral:rRNA from 1 species
AGAGUUUGAUCAUGGCUCAGGAUGAACGCUGGCGGCGUGCUUAACACAUGCAAGUCGAGCGAAGCGCGGGGAACGGACCUCUUCGGAGGGAAGGGAGCCGUGACUGAGCGGCGGACGGGUGAGUAACGCGUGGGCAACCUGCCUCAUACAGGGGAAUAACAGUUAGAAAUGACUGCUAAUGCCGCAUAAGCGCACACUAUCGCAUGAUAGGGUGUGAAAAGCUCCGGCGGUAUGAGAUGGACCCGCGUCUGAUUAGCUGGUUGGCAGGGUAACGGCCUACCAAGGCGACGAUCAGUAGCCGGCCUGAGAGGGUGACCGGCCACAUUGGGACUGAGACACGGCCCAAACUCCUACGGGAGGCAGCAGUGGGGAAUAUUGCACAAUGGGGGAAACCCUGAUGCAGCGACGCCGCGUGGGUGAAGAAGUAUUUCGGUAUGUAAAGCCCUAUCAGCAGGGAAGAAGACGACAGUACCUGAAUAAGAAGCCCCGGCUAACUACGUGCCAGCAGCCGCGGUAAUACGUAGGGGGCAAGCGUUAUCCGGAUUUACUGGGUGUAAAGGGAGCGCAGGUGGCAAAGCAAGCCAGAAGUGAAAACCCGGGGCUCAACCCCGCGGAUUGCUUUUGGAACUGUUAAGCUGGAGUGCAGGAGGGGCAGGCGGAAUUCCUGGUGUAGCGGUGAAAUGCGUAGAUAUCAGGAGGAACACCGGUGGUGAAGGCGGCCUGCUGGACUGUAACUGACACUGAGGCUCGAAAGCGUGGGGAGCAAACAGGAUUAGAUACCCUGGUAGUCCACGCGGUAA